rnacentral:rRNA from 1 species
UAAGCGACUAAGCGUACACGGUGGAUGCCCUGGCAGUCAGAGGCGAUGAAGGACGUGCUAAUCUGCGAAAAGCGUCGGUAAGGUGAUAUGAACCGUUAUAACCGGCGAUGUCCGAAUGGGGAAACCCAGUGCAAUUCGUUGCACUAUCGUUAACUGAAUACAUAGGUUAACGAGGCGAACCGGGGGAACUGAAACAUCUAAGUACCCCGAGGAAAAGAAAUCAACCGAGAUUCCCCCAGUAGCGGCGAGCGAACGGGGAGCAGCCCAGAGUCUGAAUCAGCUUGUGUGUUAGUGGAACGGUCUGGAAAGUCCGACGGUACAGGGUGAUAGUCCCGUACACCAAAAUGCACAGGUUGUGAACUCGAAGAGUAGGGCGGGACACGUGGUAUCCUGUCUGAAUAUGGGGGGACCAUCCUCCAAGGCUAAAUACUCCUGACUGACCGAUAGUGAACCAGUACCGUGAGGGAAAGGCGAAAAGAACCCCGGCGAGGGGAGUGAAAAAGAACCUGAAACCGUGUACGUACAAGCAGUGGGAGCACCUUCGGGUGUGACUGCGUACCUUUUGUAUAAUGGGUCAGCGACUUAUAUUCUGUAGCAAGGUUAACCGUAUAGGGGAGCCGCAGGGAAACCGAGUCUUAACUGGGCGUUAAGUUGCAGGGUAUAGACCCGAAACCCGGUGAUCUAGCCAUGGGCAGGUUGAAGGUUGGGUAACACUAACUGGAGGACCGAACCGACUAAUGUUGAAAAAUUAGCGGAUGACUUGUGGCUGGGGGUGAAAGGCCAAUCAAACCGGGAGAUAGCUGGUUCUCCCCGAAAGCUAUUUAGGUAGCGCCUCGUGAACUCAUCUUCGGGGGUAGAGCACUGUUUCGGCUAGGGGGUCAUCCCGACUUACCAACCCGAUGCAAACUACGAAUACCGAAGAAUGUUAUCACGGGAGACACACGGCGGGUGCUAACGUCCGUCGUGAAGAGGGAAACAACCCAGACCGCCAGCUAAGGUCCCAAAGUCACAGUUAAGUGGGAAACGAUGUGGGAAGGCACAGACAGCCAGGAUGUUGGCUUAGAAGCAGCCAUCAUUUAAAGAAAGCGUAAUAGCUCACUGGUCGAGUCGGCCUGCGCGGAAGAUGUAACGGGGCUAAACUGUGCACCGAAGCUGCGGCAGCGACACGAUGUGUUGUUGGGUAGGGGAGCGUUCUGUAAGCCUGCGAAGGUGGCCUGUGAGGGUUGCUGGAGGUAUCAGAAGUGCGAAUGCUGACAUAAGUAACGAUAAUGCGGGUGAAAAGCCCGCACGCCGGAAGACCAAGGGUUCCUGUCCAACGUUAAUCGGGGCAGGGUGAGUCGACCCCUAAGGCGAGGCCGAAAGGCGUAGUCGAUGGGAAACAGGUUAAUAUUCCUGUACUUGGUGUUACUGCGAAGGGGGGACGGAGAAGGCUAUGUUAGCCGGGCGACGGUUGUCCCGGUUUAAGCAUGUAGGCGGAGGUUCCAGGUAAAUCCGGUACCUUUUUAACGCUGAGGUGUGAUGACGAGGCACUACGGUGCUGAAGUAACAAAUGCCCUGCUUCCAGGAAAAGCCUCUAAGCAUCAGGUAACAUUAAAUCGUACCCCAAACCGACACAGGUGGUCAGGUAGAGAAUACCAAGGCGCUUGAGAGAACUCGGGUGAAGGAACUAGGCAAAAUGGUGCCGUAACUUCGGGAGAAGGCACGCUGAUAUGUAGGUGAAGCCCCUGCGGGUGGAGCUGAAAUCAGUCGAAGAUACCAGCUGGCUGCAACUGUUUAUUAAAAACACAGCACUGUGCAAACACGAAAGUGGACGUAUACGGUGUGACGCCUGCCCGGUGCCGGAAGGUUAAUUGAUGGGGUUAUCCGUAAGGAGAAGCUCUUGAUCGAAGCCCCGGUAAACGGCGGCCGUAACUAUAACGGUCCUAAGGUAGCGAAAUUCCUUGUCGGGUAAGUUCCGACCUGCACGAAUGGCGUAAUGAUGGCCAGGCUGUCUCCACCCGAGACUCAGUGAAAUUGAACUCGCUGUGAAGAUGCAGUGUACCCGCGGCAAGACGGAAAGACCCCGUGAACCUUUACUAUAGCUUGACACUGAACAUUGAGCCUUGAUGUGUAGGAUAGGUGGGAGGCUUUGAAGCGUGGACGCCAGUCUGCGUGGAGCCAACCUUGAAAUACCACCCUUUAAUGUUUGAUGUUCUAACGUUGGCCCCUUAUCGGGGUUGCGGACAGUGUCUGGUGGGUAGUUUGACUGGGGCGGUCUCCUCCCAAAGAGUAACGGAGGAGCACGAAGGUUAGCUAAUCCUGGUCGGACAUCAGGAGGUUAGUGCAAUGGCAUAAGCUAGCUUGACUGCGAGCGUGACGGCGCGAGCAGGUGCGAAAGCAGGUCAUAGUGAUCCGGUGGUUCUGAAUGGAAGGGCCAUCGCUCAACGGAUAAAAGGUACUCCGGGGAUAACAGGCUGAUACCGCCCAAGAGUUCAUAUCGACGGCGGUGUUUGGCACCUCGAUGUCGGCUCAUCACAUCCUGGGGCUGAAGUAGGUCCCAAGGGUAUGGCUGUUCGCCAUUUAAAGUGGUACGCGAGCUGGGUUUAGAACGUCGUGAGACAGUUCGGUCCCUAUCUGCCGUGGGCGCUGGAGAAUUGAGGGGGGCUGCUCCUAGUACGAGAGGACCGGAGUGGACGCAUCACUGGUGUUCGGGUUGUCAUGCCAAUGGCAUUGCCCGGUAGCUAAAUGCGGAAGAGAUAAGUGCUGAAAGCAUCUAAGCACGAAACUUGCCCCGAGAUGAGUUCUCCCUGAGACUUUAAGUCUCCUGAAGGAACGUUAAAGACGAUGACGUUGAUAGGUCGGGUGUGUAAGCGUAGCGAUACGUUGAGCUAACCGAUACUAAUGAACCGUGAGGCUUAACCU